rnacentral:rRNA from 1 species
CCUACGGGUGGCAGCAGUGAGGGAGAUUGGUCAAUGGGGGAAACCCUGAACCAGCAACGCCGCGUGAGGGAAGACGGUUUUCGGAUUGUAAACCUCUGUCCUCGGUGAAGAGAAUGACGGUAGCAGAGGAGGAAGCUCCGGCUAACGACGUGCAAGCAGCCGCGGUAAUACGUAGGGAGCAAGCGUUGUCCGGAUUUACUGGGUGUCAAGGGUGCGUAGGCGGCCCUGCAAGUCAGAAGUGAAAUCCAUGGGCUCAACCCGUGAACUGCUUUUGAAACUGUAGGGCUUGAGUGAAGUAGAGGCAGGCGGCAUUCCCGGUGUAGCGGUGCUAUGCGU